CAUCACAGCCCAGCCUGCCCCACCCUUUGUCCCCACCCCACGCAGCCUCUUGUGUAGCCUGAAGCAAUCAAAAUCUGGCUAUCUGCAAAGUGCACGCUGAACUGCAGGAGUAUCCAUCCAUCCUUGACUCCCUGGGGAGGCAGUGCUGCAUUCCUGAUUACACAGGACAUGGAGAAGACAUGGCUUUGACAGCGCUGGAAAUUGUUGCAGCACCUUUCUCCAACACAAAAGUUAACUCUGGGAGUCUGAUCUGAAGAUGAAGAGGCCAUGGCAAGGAACCUGGAACUAGAGACUCCUGUUACCAUAUGGACAUUGAAUACCCUCCCUUUUUGAGAGAGUCCAAUCCCUCUGGAAGUUUUACCCUGUGCAAAGAUGCUAAUAACUGGCAUCUUGAGCAAAUGCUGUGUUGAAUGUCUGUGCCUCACUUUGGCGGGGAAUGCAGGCACAAGUACUCACUGCUUGUGGUUGGUUGACCUUGGCUGGACAGAGAGAGAAAAUAAGGAGUAAAGACUUGUGGGCUGAGACAAGAACAGAGAGAUUGCUCAGGCUCAUCUGGGGGAAACAUUUAUAAUUUGCGACCAAUCAAAUCAGAGUGGGACAAUAAAAAAUAAAACCAGACUUUAAAAUA